rnacentral:rRNA from 1 species
CUGGGAUUAGAUACCCCACUAUGCUUAGUCAUAAACUUUGGUAAUAAAUUACAUAUAUUACCCGCCAGGGUACUACGAGCGCUAGCUUAAAACCCAAAGGACUUGGCGGUGCCCCAGACCCACCUAGAGGAGCCUGUUCUAGAACCGAUAAUCCCCGUUAAACCUCACCACUUCUUGUCAUUACCGCCUAUAUACCGCCGUCGUCAGCUUACCCUGUGAAAGACUAAUAGUAAGCAAAAAUGGCACACCCAAAAACGUCAGGUCGAGGUGUAGCGAAUGAAGUGGAAAGAAAUGGGCUACAUUUUCUGACACAGAAAAUACACGAAUAACACUGUGAAACCAGUGAUUGAAGGUGGAUUUAGCAGUAAAAAGAAAAUAGAAAA